UCCAGAUAGCUAGGUGGACCAGUCAUAGUCAGUACAUUCAUCUCCAGAUAGCUAGGUGGACCAGUCAUAGUCAGGACAUUCAUCUCCAGAUAGCUAGGUGGACCAGUCAUAGUCAGUACAUUCAUCUCCAGAUAGCUAGGUGGACCAGUCAUAGUCAGUACAUUCAUCUCCAGAUAGCUAGGUGGACCAGUCAUAGUCAGUACAUUCAUCUCCAGAUAGCUAGGUGGACCAGUCAUAGUCAGUACAUUCAUCUCCAGAUAGCUAGGUGGACCAGUCAUAGUCAGGACAUUCAUCUUCAGAUAGCUAGGUGGACCAGUCAUAGUCAGUACAUUCAUCUCCAGAUAGCUAGGUGGACCAGUCAUAGUCAGGACAUUCAUCUGCAGAUAGCUAGGUGGACCAGUCAUAGUCAGGACAUUCAUCUCCAGAUAGCUAGGUGGACCAGUCAUAGUCAGUACAUUCAUCUCCAGAUAGCUAGGUGGACCAGUCAUAGUCAGGACAUUCAUCUCCAGAUAGCUAGGUGGACCAGUCAUAGUCAGUACAUUCAUCUCCAGAUAGCUAGGUGGACCAGUCAUAGUCAGUACAUUCAUCUCCAGAUAGCUAGGUGGACCAGUCAUAGUCAGUACAUUCAUCUCCAGAUAGCUAGGUGGACCAGUCAUAGUCAGUACAUUCAUCUCCAGAUAGCUAGGUGGACCAGUCAUAGUCAGGACAUUCAUCUCCAGAUAGCUAGGUGGACCAGUCAUAGUCAGGACAUUCAUCUCCAGAUAGCUAGGUGGACCAGUCAUAGUCAG